GACGAACGCUGGCGGCGUGCUUAAUACAUGCAAGUCGAACGGAAAGGCCCUGCUUUUGUGGCUUUGUCGAUUGCGGAAGGGGUGGUAAAAACUUGAUUAUCCUCCCCCUGACUUUGGGUUAACUCCAGGAAACUGGGGCAAUUACCGGAUAUGAGCUCCUGCUGCAUGGUGGGGGUUGGUAAAUUUCGGCUGGUGUGGAUGGACUCGCUGCUUAUCAGCUUGUUGGGCGGGUAGUGGCUUACCAAGGCUUUGACGGGUAGGCUGCCUGAGAGGGUGACCGGCCACAAUGGGACUAAGAUACGGCGCAGAAGACUACGGGAGGCAAUAGGGGGGAAUAUUGAACAAUGAGGGGAAGCCUGAGGCAGAAGCGCCGCGUGCGGGAUGAUGUCCUUCGGGGUAUAAACAGCUAUCGACUGUAACGAAGCGGGAGUGACGGUAACUGGUAAGGAAGCACCGGCUAACUACGUG
rnacentral:rRNA from 1 species